AACGAACGCUGGCGGCAUGCCUAACACAUGCAAGUCGAACGAACCCUUCGGGGUUAGUGGCGCACGGGUGCGUAACGCGUGGGGAUCUGCCCUUUGCUUCGGAAUAACAGUUAGAAAUGACUGCUAAUACCGGAUGAUGUCGAAAGACCAAAGAUUUAUCGGCAAAGGAUGAACCCGCGUAGGAUUAGCUAGUUGGUGGGGUAAAGGCCUACCAAGGCGACGAUCCUUAGCUGGUCUGAGAGGAUGAUCAGCCACACUGGGACUGAGACACGGCCCAGACUCCUACGGGAGGCAGCAGUGGGGAAUAUUGGACAAUGGGCGAAAGCCUGAUCCAGCAAUGCCGCGUGAGUGAUGAAGGCCUCGGUUGUAAAGCUCUUUUACCUAGGGAAUGAUAAUGACAGUACCUGGAGAAUAAGACUCCGGCUAACUCCGUG
rnacentral:rRNA from 1 species